CCCACCUGACCCCAUGCCGAACUCAGAAGUGAAACGCCGUAGCGCCGAUGGUAGUGUGGGGUCUCCCCAUGUGAGAGUAGGGAACUGCCAGGC
rnacentral:rRNA from 18 species